rnacentral:rRNA from 1 species
AAACCCACCUCUUAGCAGGGAUAACAUUUGGAAACAAUGCUAAUACCGUAUAAUAAUUAAAAACCGCAUUGGUUUUAGUUUAAAAGAUGGUCUUGCUAUCACUAAGAGAUGGUCCCGCGGUGUAUUAGUUAGUUGGUGAGGUAAUGGCUCACCAAGACAAUGAUACAUAGCCGAGUUGAGAGACUGACCGGCCACAAUGGGACUGAGACACGGCCCAUACUCCUACGGGAGGCAGCAGUAGGGAAUCUUCCACAAUGGACGAAAGUCUGAUGGAGCAACGCCGCGUGUGUGAUGAAGGGUUUCGGCUCGUAAAACACUGUUGUAAGAGAAGAAUGACAUUGAGAGUAACUGUUCAAUGUGUGACGGUAUCUUACCAGAAAGGAACGGCUAAAUACGUG